CAGCAGCCGCGGUAAUACCGGCGGCCCGAGUGGCGGUCACUAUUAUUGGGCUUAAAGCGUCCGUAGCCGGGUUGGGAAGUCCUCCGGGAAAUCUGGCCGCUUAACGGUCAGAAUGCCGGAGGAUACUCCCAGCCUAGGGAGCGGGAGAGGCCGAGGGGAUUCCCGGAGUAGGGGUGAAAUCCUAUAAUCCCGGGAGGGCCACCUGUGGCGAAGGCGCUCGGCUGGAACGCGUCCGACGGUGAGGGACGAAGGCCAGGGGAGCAAACCGGAUUAGAUACCCGGGUAGUCCUGGCUGUAAACGAUGCGGACUUUGUGUCGGACAAGCUAUGAGCUUGUCCGGUGCCGGAGGGAAACCGUUAAGUCCGCCGCCUGGGGAGUACGGCCGCAAGGCUGAAACUUAAAGGAAUUGGCGGG
rnacentral:rRNA from 1 species